UUGCUGAAAAUCACAAAGAUGGGGGAAGGGAAUAAGGGCAAAAGUUCUAUUAAUUAAAUACAUUUAUUUAUUAUUAGAAAAUAUUUUCCUCAGAAAUGUUUUUUAGUGAAGGCUAAAAAUUUAAAAUCAUGUUUUUUCAGAGAUCUACAUGGAAACCGGAAAAUGUGAUACAAAACCGGGAGUCUCUGGUAAACCAGAAGAGUUGACAGCUAUGGUUACAUGCAUUAGAAUUAUAUAUUUACAACUUUACCAUACUGUUACGGGCCAUGAGAUUCUAAACUUUUUAAAGCUAUUUUUAAACACUACACCUUACGUCUGUGAAGAUUACCCACUUUACAAUAGAAAGGUUUUCAAUUAUAAACCGGAUAUACAAUUAAGUCUUGCCGAACGCAUGGUUUACAUGAUUAAUACAUGGCGCGUAUGGCAAAAUCCCAUUCCGCAUAGUUAACUUUCUAUGGAAAAAAUGUGUUAGGUUAUAAUUCAGAUUAAGAAAGAAUGUCCAAUUUAAAUAUACUCAAAUAUUGUUACAAUUAAAAGGGGAAAGAGGAACACGUGUUAAUUGAAAGGGUUUUUGUUACUGCUUAAUUAAGUUUUUGAUAUACUUAUUUUCUAAAAAACGAUUGGUGAUUUUGCUUGAUAUAAUGACUGGCGCAACUCUAAGUUUUGAAGCAAAGAGUGCAGACCUUUCAAUGCCUCUAAUGAAAUGUUUUCUUCUUUAUUCAGCUGGAUCUAUCACGUGUGCAUAAUCAGAUAGUUCCUCUGAUUUUUUUUUACCAUUCCUUUAAUAAGAUCAUCCAGUUCUUCAUUCAUGAUUUUUCGAUAAAUUCUUUGACUUCUUCAGUAUUUGAAAAUACUUCGCCACCAACUGAAUUUUCAAUUUGUACAAUUUCUCUGGCGUCAUUUUCGAUCAAUGCAAAUCUUUUAAAAUUGUUGGCAACUUCGGGCCGGAGAUGAUGCCAUUAAGCAUGCAGUGUUGAUGAGGAUCCGAUGAACUGCGUAUAAAUGAAAUUAUAACGUUGGACAAAUUAAACAGAAACAACUAAAAUAACGCAAAUAAUACGAAAUCGCGUUCCUCAAAUUCGCGCUUGGUAAGGGUUUACUGUAUUAAUAGCUAGAAAGUGCAAUAAAAUUUCAUUUUGGAAAGAAUUAUUUGAAAAAUUUUGGAAAACUAUUUACAUUCUACAAUUGUAUAAUGAUGAGUUGAAUUUAAGCUUGACUCGAACAAUAAACCAACCUUGUUAUAUAAUUCAUAAACUGGAUUUUAAAAAUAUUUAUGCUUCCUUUUAAUUGCAGAAGGAUAAUAAUUAUACAAUUCCUGAGUGGGCAUUGUUAUAUUGGGAUAAAUUCAUUGAAUUUGCCGACAUCAGUUACUUCCUGCAUUUUCAAUCUAGACUACAGCAAAGACUGAGAGCAGGCCCGAUUUUAAAUUUAUUUCUAAAGCGCAUGAAGGAGAAAAUGGAAGGAAAACACGGAUCCAAAAAGGUGUAUGUAUAUUCUGGACAUGGAAGUAAUAUAGCUGCUAUUCAGUGUGCUCUACAGAUGUACGAUAUGAAACAUGCGCCUCAUGCAGCGACCAUAGUAGCUGAACUGUAUAGAGAAAAGGAGUGGAGAUGGUUCCAUUCGAUUUCUUUUCUUCAAUUCCUCUCAUCCCGAAACUGUUAUCGAAAAUCCAUACAUAUUCCUGCUGCAAGGCUGUAGCGAAUUCUGUCCUCUGUGGUUCUAUGAAGAUUUAAUCCAAGAUAUAGUUCCUAAAGAUUGGAAAAAGGAAUGUAUGAGUGAGUGGCAAGGGAUUUCAAAAGAAAUCAUACCACCUCAGUUCGGUGAAUUCAUGUUUCAAGAGAAAUCAUCAUCAUCUGGAAGCAUAUCAAAAAGUUGCAAUUCAUAUGCUUUAGUCUUAUUAUCUGUAUUUGUUAUGUUAGUUUUUAAUAUUGUGUAAUAAAGCGUAAAUAAUUUUUAA
rnacentral:lncRNA from 1 species